GGGCAUGUAGUGUAGGGGUUAUCGCGCCUCAUUCGCAACUUCGGGGAUUAAGCCGAGGUCACGUGACUUGAGGAGGUCUCCGGUUCAAUUCCGGACUUGUCCA
rnacentral:tRNA from 1 species